CAAGAAAAGCCUCUAGCUAGAAUUGUGGUGCCCGUACCGCAAACCGACACAGGUAGUCAAGAUGAGAAUUCUAAGGUGAGCGAGCGAACUCUCGUUAAGGAACUCGGCAAAAUGACCCCGUAACUUCGGGAGAAGGGGUGCUCUUUAGGGUUAACGCCCAGGAGAGCCGCAGUGAAUAGGCCCAAGCGACUGUUUAUCAAAAACACAGGUCUCUGCUAAACCGUAAGGUGAUGUAUAGGGGCUGACGCCUGCCCGGUGCUGGAAGGUUAAGAGGAGUGGUUAGCUUCUGCGAAGCUACGAAUCGAAGCCCCAGUAAACGGCGGCCGUAACUAUAACGGUCCUAAGGUAGCGAAAUUCCUUGUCGGGUAAGUUCCGACCCGCACGAAAGGCGUAACGAUUUGGGCACUGUCUCAACGAGAGACUCGGUGAAAUCAUAGUACCUGUGAAGAUGCAGGUUACCCGCGACAGGACGGAAAGACCCCGUGGAGCUUUACUGUAGUCUGAUAUUGAAAUUCGGCACAGCUUGUACAGGAUAGGUAGGAGCCUGAGAUACGUGAGCGCUAGCUUACGUGGAGGCGUUGGUGGGAUACUACCCUCGCUGUGUUGGAUUUCUAACCCGCACCAUUUAUCAUGGUGGGAGACAGUGUCAGAUGGGCAGUUUGACUGGGGCGGUCGCCUCCUAAAGAGUAACGGAGGCGCUCAAAGGUUUCCUCAGAAUGGUUGGAAAUCAUUCAUAGAGUGUAAAGGCAUAAGGAAGCUUGACUGCGAGACUUACAAGUCGAGCAGGGUCGAAAGACGGACUUAGUGAUCCGGUGGUUCCGCAUGGAAGGGCCAUCGCUCAACGGAUAAAAGCUACCCCGGGGAUAACAGGCUUAUCUCCCCCAAGAGUUCACAUCGACGGGGAGGUUUGGCACCUCGAUGUCGGCUCAUCGCAUCCUGGGGCUGUAGUCGGUCCCAAGGGUUGGGCUGUUCGCCCAUUAAAGCGGUACGCGAGCUGGGUUCAGAACGUCGUGAGACAGUUCGGUCCCUAUCCGUCGUGGGCGUAGGAAAUUUGAGAGGAGCUGUCCUUAGUACGAGAGGACCGGGAUGGACAUACCUCUGGUGUACCAGUUGUCGUGCCAACGGCAUCGCUGGGUAGCUAUGUAUGGACGGGAUAAGUGCUGAAAGCAUCUAAGCAUGAAGCCCCCCUCAAGAUGAGAUUUCCCAACUUCGGUUAUAAGAUCCCUCAAAGAUGAUGAGGUUAAUAGGUUCGAGGUGGAAGCAUAGCGAUAUGUGCAGCUGACGAAUACUAAUCGAUCGAAGACUUAAUCAAAUU
rnacentral:rRNA from 2 species